ACCUGGGUGGCUCAGUCGGUUGAGCGUCUGAUUUCAGCUCAGGUCAUGAUCUCAAGGUUCGUGGGUUUGAGCCCCAUGUUGGGCU
rnacentral:tRNA from 1 species